CUGAGACACGGACCAGACUCCUACGGGAGGCAGCAGUGAGGAAUAUUGGUCAAUGGCCGGGAGGCUGAACCAGCCAAGUCGCGUGAGGGAAGACGGCCCUACGGGUUGUAAACCUCUUUUGUCAGGGAGCAAGAGGCGGGUCGAGACCUGCUGUGAGAGUACCUGAAGAAAAAGCAUCGGCUAACUCCGUGCCAGCAGCCGCGGUAAUACGGAGGAUGCGAGCGUUAUCCGGAUUUAUUGGGUUUAAAGGGUGCGCAGGCGGAGGCACAAGUCAGCGGUAAAAUCGCGGGGCUCAACCCCGCUCCGCCGUUGAAACUGUGUCCCUUGAGUGCGCGAAGGGUAGGCGGAAUGCGUGGUGUAGCGGUGAAAUGCAUAGAUAUCACGCAGAACUCCGAUCGCGAAGGCAGCCUACCGGCGCGCAACUGACGCUCAUGCACGAAAGCGUGGGUAUCGAACAGGAUUAGAUACCCUGGUAGUCCACGCAGUAAACGAUGAAUGCUAUCUGUCCGGCCGGAAUGACGGCUGG
rnacentral:rRNA from 1 species